GAUCCUGGCUCAGGAUGAACGCUGGCGGCGUGCCUAAUACAUGCAAGUCGAACGCACAGCGAAAGGUGCUUGCACCUUUCAAGUGAGUGGCGAACGGGUGAGUAACACGUGGAUAACCUACCUCAAGGUUGGGGAUAACAUUUGGAAACAGAUGCUAAUACCGAAUAAAACUUCGUAUCGCAUGAUACAAGGUUAAAAGGCGCUACGGCGUCACCUAGAGAUGGAUCCGCGGUGCAUUAGUUAGUUGGUGGGGUAAAGGCCUACCAAGACAAUGAUGCAUAGCCGAGUUGAGAGACUGAUCGGCCACAUUGGGACUGAGACACGGCCCAAACUCCUACGGGAGGCUCCAGUAGGGAAUCUUCCACAAUGGGCGAAAGCCUGAUGGAGCAACGCCGCGUGUGUGAUGAAGGCUUUCGGGUCGUAAAGCACUGUUGUAUGGGAAGAACAGCUAGAGUAGGGAAUGACUUUAGUUUGACGGUACCAUACCAGAAAGGGACGGCUAAAUACGUG
rnacentral:rRNA from 1 species